GUUGCAGACAGUGACAGCAGUAAGGGAAGACGAGGGGAACAACACCGUGGUAAAAAAGGUGACCACAAGGUUCAAAGGAAACAUGUGAAAUUAGUAUGGUCUGUUUUCUGAGUUUUUACUUUGACAGCGCACAGAGGUGACGGAAAGCGAAGCUUGCUGUCAGAGCCAAAUACAUGCUGAACUGGAGUUACCGGAAACGAUGACUAUGAGAGGAGCACAAGAUACGUUGACAAGGACAAGAUGAAGAACAAAGACGUAUAUACUGAGAUUUGCCGUGUCUAAUUGGCAAUGUACAUUCUAAUAGGUGGAAGCAUAUAGAUCUUAAAACCUGUGAAAACAGAACAAAAACCAUCUGACUGCAACAAUACCAGAGUGUAUCGAGGAGCAUAAUCGGAGACGUUGAUGAAUUGCGGCGGAGCGUUGACAUUUAUUGCUUCUCAGCUCUCCUGUCAUUAGCAAAUUAGGCUUAGAGGCUGAGAUGAUCCAAAGAGACCCGGUAAGUAUUCAGACAGACACGAUGGUGCUGAAGAAUGACUAUCAUCAUCAGUGGAAAUGAGCUCGUCUCACACAUCUUUUACCUACUCAACUCAAUUUGUCAUCCUUCCCCUAGUAACUACGAGCUUUUUAUUUACUGUGAGAGGGCUGCUGAAGGUUAUCAGCUUUUCUGUUGGUACAUAUCCUGUAAUUCUAAUAACCCAGAUUUAACAAAUUCGAAUUCUGUAUAAUUUGAUAUAAUGCAAAAAGCCUUCCUGUCUGUGAAAUGUGAGGAGUGAAACUAUGGACCAGCACAUGGCACCCAGAUAUGACAGGAUGAUAUGGACUAGCCUGACAUCGCUGCCUUACCCCUGUUCAUUGAGCAUGCUGAAAGAGGAGACUAAGAUAACAAAAGCUGAAAGGACGAAUGUGUCAUCCUCUUUUUCCUCCAUUUUUUCCCAGUGAAGGGUUCUCUCUCCCCAAAAGCCUCUGCCUUUAAAAUCGAACAAAGAAGCUGCUGUGCAUCCAGUAACUGCGUGUGAGCUUGAAUAAGUCCAGCGCUGGAGCUGUGAUAAGUCGCUCCCAAACAAACUGCACUCUCAUGUGGGACUGUUUAAUUGGCAAAAAUGGAAACAAAUAAAUCCAUGUUGAAUUUAUAUAUUCUGUCCUUGUUUUUGUAUUUUUACUCGGCUGUGUUUGAUAAACAUUAUAAACAUGUGCUGCCGAGGCCUUAAUGAUCCGUUUCCGGCACCAUGCUGUCUUUAUUCUCUCAUCCCCUCCACUGUCUCGGGAUUAACUUAUCUCUCCUCCAGGCAGUACUUGGAAG